ACCUGGCUGGCUCAGUCGGUAGAGCACGAGACUCUCGAUCCCGGGGUUGUGGGUUCAAGCCCCAAGUUGGGUA